CUCUCAUAUGGAGUCUCCUGAAGCUUCGGUCAAAAUAAAAAUCCUAAUCCUGAAGAUGUAACGAGCAAUUUGGUAAAAUAAAUUUGUCGUAAUCUUUUACGGUUGCGAAGGAGUAGUGGCCACAAGAAAAACAGUGUUUGGGGAGAUAACUCUUACAACGUAAAGUAUUUUGUUACGCAGUUGUCAGUUUUUAAAGCGUAAUAACUAUACGAUAUCAUAUUCCAAAUAUCUAAGCGACAUCUUUUGAAACAUCAAUACUACGCAAGAAAAAAAUUAGGCGGGAAAAAAAAAAAAAAAAAAAUAAUAAUUAAAAACCAAUUGUUCAGAGAACAAUUGAAGGUCUUUCCACUAGUAAAGAUCUAUUUUGAUAUUGAAAUAUGAAAAAUCAGUUUAAAAUGUUAGUUCCUAUGGCUUUAUGAUGUAUUUAUAUGAAUUUAAAGCAAAGGUCAAAAUCUAGAACGUCCUAUUAACCUAUGACCUUGACCUCAAUUUCAAGGUCACAAACCAAGGACCUUAAAUCAAAAGACCCUAGGUCUUUAAUAUGUUUGGUUAAUGAGUAAUACCACUUUACGCGUAAUUCUAAAUGUAAGAUGGACAAAAACUCCCAUUUAUUGUAUGCGCACCCUUUCAACCAAAAUAUACAAGUAAGGACAUGUCGCAACUAACAAUUUAUGAAAAAUUAUUUGUCGAUAUGUCAUACGGUAUUUGAAAAUAAGUGAAAAUAAGCCAAAAUCAAAAUUUAGAAUAUGACCUUGACCUUUGACCUUGACCUUAUUU
rnacentral:lncRNA from 1 species